AGACCAAUUCUCUAAUCAUAUCAAACUUUUUUAAUAGAAGUAGUACAAAAAUAACCGUAGUCAUUACAGACAAGAAAAACAUAAAUUAUUGCAUACGCCAUAAGGCAUUGAAUGACCAUCAGUCCAGGCUUGUCCAUGAGAUGCACUUGUGAUACUUGUGAUUGAUUCCUUUGUUGUACUUUAUGAUGUCUCAAGUUCAUAUUGUAGUUCAUCACUUCCAUAUAUUCAUCAUGUGAUUGAUUCCUUUGUUGUACAUUAUGAUGUCUCAAGUUCGUAUUGUAGUUCAUCACUUCCAUAUAUUCAUAGCUCUAUUGGAAAAAAGUACAAUUUGGACACCCAUAGUACAAUCUUCUAGGGUUGGAUAGGGAACUUGAUGUACUUAAGUUACAUGGUAUGUCGCACCGCAGACAGUUGCGGUGUGGAUAUCUUCCAUUGUUUGUGAAAGCUGAUGACAUCCUUAUGGGUUCAAAGGUCUAGAUCUGCAUCCACAUUUUAUAAAAAGUAAACAUAAUGAUAUUACUUAGUUAUGCCAAGAUCAGACAUUGAAGUGCUGGAAUGUAUGUGAAUAAGGCAUGAAAAAAUAAAUUUCAGCAAAUUCAAGAACAUCUAUUCACAUGGAAAAUAGACAUGUUUUAUAAAAUUAUCAGCAAAUUCAAUAACAUCUAUCUCUAAUCCUGAAGUGACUGUUCUGUGGCAUAAGUAGACAUUUUUUUGUAAAUACGACAGGUAUGGUCAAAGACUAUGGAUUGUUGUGCUUCUUUUACAGGUAUGUCUCUUUUGAGGGGAGCAUUCCUGUACAAAUAUUGAGCUUGAAAUAUCUGGUUUCUAUUGAUAUUUCUUUUAAUAGAUUAGUUGGGGAAAUCCCACAAAAUUGUUGUGCUUGAGCUCAAAUCUCAGAAUCUUACUGGAAAUGGAGUUCAGGGAAGGAUUUCUGAUCUCGCUGGCCUGAAAUCAAUUUCGAGGUCGAGUAUUGGGUCUGUUUUUCAGGAAUUGUUGAAGAUCUUUGACAUCAGUGAAACGCAGUUUCACGACCAUAUUUGACAUAUAAGCUCCAUUUCUGAUUUGGCUAAUUUGAUUUUCCUCGAUACAUCAUCUAACCAAGUUAGUGGAGAGAUUUUCACCGACUUAAAACAAAACCCACCCCCUAACACACCUCAAUCUCGCUCACAGUCUUUUAUUUCUACAAAAAGUCCCUCUCAUGAAUGAGCGCCUGUCAAACUACAAAAAGUCCCUCUCAUGAAUGAGCCUCGAGUCUGUCAAAUAUCUAAACCAACUUACAGGGGCAACUCAACAAUCAAGAAUAUGGUCAAAGGCUUCCUACAAAAAAUUGGUGUAUCCAAACCACAAUUUAAGAAAAAAUCAGAUAUGACAAACAACACCACUAAUAUCACUCUAAAACCCUAAAAAAUAAGACUUUCAAUAAAAAUCCAAUACAGAAAAAUCGUGAAUAAAUAACAAUAAGGGACACCAUCUACAACCAAGUUGCAAGGGCAGCUCAACCAUCAAGAAUAUAGUGCAAGACUUCCUCCAAAAAAUAAGAGUCAACAAAAAAAACCCAAUAAAAUAAAAAUCAGAGGUGAAGCCAUGAAACUCACAUCUGUGUGGCGAGAGGCUACAGUAGUUGCUGGUGUGGAGAGAGCUGCUAUGGUCUCUGAGCGUAGAGAGAGAAGUAAUGGCUGAGCGUAGAGAGAAGGGUGAGGGUAACAGGGAGAGAGAGUAGUUGACAGGAGGAGAGAGUAGCAAAAUGGGUAAUGGCUGAGUGUUGAGAGAGAAGGGUGAGGUAACAGGGAGAGAGAGUAGUUGACGGGGGGAGAGAGACGGGUAAAAUGGCGUAGAGAGAGAAGGGUGAGAGUAACAGGGAGAGAGAGUAGCGGACACGCAGAGAAAGUAGCUGCCAUUUUGGAGAGAGUAGCUGACAAAGUUGCAGGCGG
rnacentral:lncRNA from 1 species